rnacentral:lncRNA from 1 species
CUGUUUACUUCACCACCUAAAAAAAUUUUAUUCAUCACAUCAAAUUUUUGACACAUACAUGAAACAUUAAAUAUAAAUAAAAAAAUAAACUAAUUACACAGUUUGGUUAAAAAUCACGAGAUAAAUUUUUUAAGCCUUGUUAAUCCAUGAUUAGUCUUAAGUGUUACAUUAACCCAUAAAUGCUAAUAACAAAUUAAUUAUACUUAAUAGAUUUGUCUUGCAGUUUUCAAACGAACUAUGUAAUUUGUUUUGUUAUUAGUUUCUAAAAAUCCUCCCGACAUCCUUUCGACACAUCCAAUAUAACACUUAAAAAUUUUUUAUCUCCAAUCUAAACAGGCCGUUAGGCACACGUGGACCCAGGGCCACGGCCCGCGAGCCGGCCGCAUGGCAAGAGUUCACAUCUAGGCUCCAUUUAGUUUCCUUUGCUAAAUAAAUUAUUUUAGUUACUGUUAGGUGACUAAUAGAACUAAAUUAUUUUAGUUUUUUUAGUCAAUGUGUUUGGAACUUUAGCUACUAAAGUGACUAAAGUUUAGCUAGCUAAAAUUUAGCAAGGAGAACCAAACAGAGCCCUAUUCUAACCGCCGCUUGCUGUUAAUAAUAAAGUUGUUUAUUAUCAAAAAAAAAUGUUCAGUUCAGUGUGCAGUGAGCCAAUUCUGGAGGGCCAAUUAUGGCUUCCCAGAAAUUUUUGUAAAUUUUUUAAAAUUCUCCAUCACAUCAAAUCUUAUGACAUAUGCAUAGAGCAUUAAAUAUAGAUAAAAAAACUAAUUGCCUAAUUUAUCUAUAAUUUACAAGAUGAGUAUUUUAAAUCUAGUUAGUCUAUGAUUGAACAAUACUUGUCAAAUACAAACAAAAAUAUUAUUAUAUCUAUUUUAUAAAAAAAAAAUGGAACUAAACAAGACCUAUCUCCACCAUAGCAUAGCAAGGUGGAUUACGUUUUUAGACUUAUAAUAAUACACUGAUGUAGCAGGAAAUGUACAGAUCAAUCAUCGACGCUAAACGCCCAAGCUUUGCCAAAGAAAAACAAAAACUAAGUUUUUUUUAGUAUCGUAGUAUAUUUAUAACUAUAGUAGUUAGUGUACACUCAUAAAUUAAUUAAAUUUAAAAAAUUUAUCUCGCAAAAUAUAUACAAAUUAUACAAUUAGUUAUUUUUAAUCUAUAUUUAGUAUUUCAUGUAUGUGUCUAAAUAUUCGAUGUGAUACAAGAAAUGUUUUUAAACACGAACUAAACGAGGCCUGUAGGGUUCCUUUCGCCACGCAAUCUUUCUGAAGGAUCAAGAUAUUCUCUUUCCUGCUUGAUCAUGCCAAUCAACCAUUGGUCUUUUUCCAUGUUCUUGACCAUUUCCCUAAACAAUCAAAUUAGGCAUGGCAUUCACAAAAGCCAAUUAUAAUAAAAAAACUUAGUAAAGACCCAUACAGAUUCGUGUCUAAUGUCCUUGUUCAUUGUAAUUUCAACCAAACAAUGGUCAUUAGUAAACACGAGAUAUAUGUCAGCGUUAGGCAACACGUUGUCCCACAUGCAUCUUUACAUUCUACACACAACUAACGGGGUAGUAAUAAAGAUAUUAGGCUUCCAUCCCUUAAUUUUAUAGGGAAAAAAUAUAGAUUGAAGCAUAAUGUCCUUGUACCAAAUAAAGAUAUACUCCCUUCAUAUAGGAUUUAGGUAUUAUUUUGAACAAGGUUUGGGUCAAACAUUGAGAAUAUAAAUCAUCAAUAACUUUUAAAUUGUCGAGUUUGCAAAUGCGAAAAUUAUAUGAAUAGAUUUGUCUUGAAAAAUACUUUCAUAAAAGUAUACAUAUAUUUUUUUCCUAAAUAUUUUUAUAAAAAUAAGUUGUGUUUUGGAGACCGUGUUGUUGUCCUAAACAGCAUCUAAAUCCUAUACGGAGGGAGUAUAAAGUUAUGUCGACCUAACCUCCCUAACCAAACAUGAGGUGGGUUUCAUUCCAUCCCAAAAAUCAAGGAUGGAUCCAGCCCAUUAAAAGAUUCUAAUAUGGCUAGAGAAGGGUGAAUAGUCUAUUUAAAAAUUCUACAAACUCACUAGAGCAAGAGGUUAGUAAAUAAUAAAGCGAAGAUUUUUACUCUAGCUCUAAUAGGGUGUUUGCAAGUCACCUAUCUAACAAUGCUAGUUGAUAUGAUCACUAGGCACACAAGAGUUAUGUCACUACAAGCUACACUAGUGAACUAUGCUACACAAGGCAAGACUAGCAACUAAACUAGUUACACUACUUUGCGGUAAGUAAAUGGAGAGGAAGAGAUAUUUAUAUCGCCGUGUAGGGGAUGAACCAAUCACCACUAUAUGAACAAUCAAGCACCAGGAGAAUGUCAAUCAAACACAAUUGAGACACUGAAAGGUCCAAAUGGCUAGAGGGGGGGUGAAUAGCCUAUUUAAUUUUUCUACAAACUUCAACUAGACAAGUUGAUUAGUAAAACAAAUGGCUAAGCAAAACUAGCACUAGCUCAACUAAGCUAUGCAAGCCACCUAAACAAACUAGUACAAGGCCAAACACUAAAGCACAACAACAAGAGAAAGCUAGUUACACUCCUAAAUAAGAAGACUAAACUAAACAAGCUAAACAACUAGCAAGGUAAACAAGUAAGGAAAGGAGUGGAGAGUGAUUGUUAUACCAACAUUGUAGAGUUGAGAUAUAUCUAACCAAUCACUCACAAUCACAAGAGAAUCCUUGGCAAGAGAUGACACAAGAUUUUUUACCGAGGAUCACUUGCUUCCCGGCAAGCUAGUCCUCGUUGUGGCGAUACACUCACUUGAUGGAUCACGUGCUAAUUGGCAAUCCAAAGUCAAACCCUCAGCGGGUGCCGCACAUCCACUCACAAGAUAGGGAUCCUCCAAGCCACGAGCAAUCCACUAGAGUAGCCAAUUGCGAUCUCCCGCGGAGAAGGCUCAAGAACCCCUCACAAAUCACUUGGUGAGGCUCGAAACAAUCUCCAAUCACGAGCUCAACACCACCGCUGCUCCAAGGCGUCUAGGGCAUCGGGAAACACCCAAGAGUAACAAAAAAUCCGCAGCAAACUCAAGAAUCACGUGCCGCUAAAUGCAACUCUCAAAGCAAUGCACUUGAAUCUCACUCAAUCUCACUAGGAUUAGCAAUCAAGCAAGGAGAUAAGUGGAGAGAGUGUUCUCUAGCUCAAUGUAUGUCUCAAGUAAUCAAAUGUGCAAGAGUUUUUCUCCCAAAGCCGGCCACCUUCUAUUUAUAAGCCCCUCAAAGAAACUAGCCGUUGGCUGCUUUCACUGGCUGAAAACGAGGGCACCAGACGCUACCAAGUGAGCACCGGACGCUCGACCCCCUGCGUCUGGUGCUUUGGAGUUAGCCACGUGUCCUUCUUGAAUCACGCGCGAUAGUCUCUAAUGGCUACCUACAAAACACCGGACGCUCUGCAAGUCCACAUCGGACGCGUUCGGUGCACACCGGACUCAUGCGCAGAGAGGGUUGCAAAACCUCCUCACACCGGACGCACACCACCGGACGCACUCAGAGCGCGUCCGGUGCUCAACCCUAGUAGGGUCAAGCACACCGGACUCUGAGGCCAGCGUCCGGUGAGUGUUUCUCAGUGAGAAAACACUCCCGCGACUUCUCCAAAUUUCCCACCGGCGCAAUAGAAAAAAUACACUUAUUUUUCUCAAAAGCGCCGAAUCCCGCCUCGCAAGCUCAGCGGGAGGGAGAGAGGAACCCAAACCCCUCUCAACCCUAGGAACUCCACCUCCUUUGAAAAUGUGCUAACACCAACAAGUGUCCACCACCAAAGUGCAUGUGUGUUAGCUUUUCACAAACAUUUUCACCCAAAGGAGUUAAGUUAGCACUUUACUAGAUCCUAAUGCAUAUGCUCAAGAUGUAGACCUAGUAGCACUUGAUUCGAGAGAUGACCGUGAUUUUCCCUCUUGAUAGUCGGCUAUCUAUCUUAAACCCGGUCAAUCACUUCUCUACUCAUCUUAGACCGGCAAAAGUAAAACCCUAUGUUUAUACCUUUGCCUUGAUAAUUUUGCUCCUCGUUUGUCACCAUGAUCUUCACUUCAUGCUUUAUCCCUUUGUGAUCAUAUGGCCACCUUCCAUGCCACCUUGCACCUUCAUCACAUGUGUUGCUAUGCUAACUCAAAUCACUUAAAUACAAGGCAUUAGCAACUUGGUGUCAUUAAUUACCAAAACCAAACUUGGGCUUCCAGACACCAAUUUUUCUCUCGAGGUUCACAUGCUUGCUGGCACGCUACGUCCCCGUUGUGUUGACCAAUACUUGAUGGUUCGGCGGCUAAGAGGUGGCGAACCUCAUCCUCACUAGGACACCACAAGAACCUACCCACAAGUGAAGUAGCUCAAUGACACGAGCAAAUCCACUAGAGUUACCUUUCGACUCUCCGCCGGAGAAGGUACGAAACCUCUCACAAUCAUCGAGAGAUGGCCACGAAUAAUCACCAACUCGUGUCAAUGCUCCUCCCUUGCUCCAAGCCGUCUAGGUGGCUGCAACCACCAAGAGUAACGAGAAAUCCGCAGCCAAAUCGAUCCCUAAGUGCCACUAGAUGCAAUCACUCAAGCAAAUGCACUUGGAAUCACUCCCAAUCUCACAAAGAUGGUUAAUUUAUGAAGGAGAUGAGUGGAAGGUGUUUGCUUAGGCUCAUAAGGAUGUCAAAUAUUCAAGAAUGGCAAGAGGGUGAGCCCCAAGCCGACCAACAACUAUUUAUAAGCCCCUCAAACAAAUAGAGUCGUUGGCUCUUCCACUGGGCAAAACACGGGACCACCGGACACUCAAACAGGAGCCACCGGACGCUCAACACCUGCAUCUGGUGCUUAGAACACAGCCACGAGUCCAUGAUCUGAAUCUCACGCGUUCAUCUAUAACGAUCAUAUUCAAUCACUGGGCGCAGUCAAGUAGACAUCGGACGUGUCCGGUACUCAUCGAACACGUGUGCAGAGAGUUUGUCAAACGCACAGGAUCACCAGACGCACACCACCGGACGCGCUCUGAGCAUCCGGUCCCUUACCCAGAGAGCGCUGCAAAUGCGCAAGGACACUGGACUCACACCACCGGACUCUCGCUGAGCGUCCAGUGGCCUCAGUCAAAAGCACCUGCUGAAGUCAGGUAACACCGGACGCGCCAACAGUCUCUGCCAGCGUUCGAUGCUUAGCUUCUGGUGCUCCCUUCACCUCUGCUAGAAACGAGAGUUCACUAGACAUGCAGGACCAGUGUUCGGUACCUCCGAGGCUAGUGUCCGGUGAGUGUUUGAAAAACACUCCUGUGACUUCUCUAAACUUUCCACUGACGCAAUAGAAAAUAUACAUUUCAUUUUCUCAAAAACGCCGAAUCCCGCCAAGCUUGGAAACCCAAACCCCUCUCUACCCUUCAAACUCCACCUUCUUCUUAAAGUGUGCCAACACUACCAUGUGUGUACCAACAUGUGUAAGGGUGUUAGCAUUUUCACAAACAUUUUCUUCGAAGGAGUUAAGUUAGCUUACUAGGUUCUAAAUGCAUACACAUGAACAAUGACACCUAGUGGCACUCGAUAACCGCUUAGCCAAAGAAUUGCCCUCUUUAUAGUACACCUAUCUAUCCUAAAUGUGAUCACACCUUCUAUGGUGUCUUGACCGUCAAAACUAAAACCCUAAGCAAUAUCUUUGCCUUGAUCUCCAUAGGGUUUUGUUUUUCUCUUUUUUCUUUUUCAAGUUGAGCACUUGAUCAUCUUGUGGUCAUCACCACCAUCACCAUGAUCAUCACUUGCUCCAUCAGUCGGCAUGUAUCAACCUCAUUAAGUCUACACACACUUAGUAUAGAGGUUAGUACUAGGGGUUCAUCAAUUGUCCAAAACCAAACUAGAACUUUCACCCAUUCCCGGAAGUCGGUUAGGCCAGUCUCAAUAGAGUUUUAUGCACAUUAAAUAUGCUGAUGUGAUAUUGUAUUAAUGAAGAAAAAUAUGAUAAAAGUUUCAGAGGACUAGAGAGAAUUUUAUAUUCAUAAAACUCUUUUGCACUGUGGGGCGGGGGGAGGGGGGGGGGAGUUGCAGAAACUAUGAGGAGACUUUUGCAAAAAUAAAUAGGCUGGUGGACCAUAAAUCCUAAAGUUGAUUUAUUUUUAGAUGAAUUUUUUGAGUUAGGAAUCUACUCCAUUUAAGAGAGAGUAACGCUUCCCUUCUUUUUUUAGGACGCUUCCCCAUUUCAGUGGAACUUUGGAUAAUUACUUCGCGCGUGUAUGAAUACAUGCAGUCGGCAACGGUGUGCUUUAUUUCAAUGAAAGUUGACAUUUACUACACGCAUCUUGGUAUUUGUAGUAUCUUUUCAAAUGUCUUAGGUUAAUUUCAAUGAAAGUUAAAGAACGAAAAUUUUAAAUAUAUUAAAAAAUAUUUUAUAUUCAAAAUAUAUUAUUGUGAGAAUAUAUUAUUUAUGUUCAAAAUAAUAUAUUUUUUAUUUUAUGAAAUCAUGAAAACGUUAAAACAAUAUGUGACAUUGCUUCAAAUCUAAAAUAGACAAACUGAACUGUGUAUUUAAUCAUUUUUUGUUAGGGGUAAAAUAGUCAUUUUGUUUUCACUUAACAUCAUUAAGUGCCUAAGCUAACGAAAAUUUAGCUUUUAGGCCUCAUAGGUAAGUUCAAAGAAAAACAGCAUAGCAUGAUGCAUUGAAAUGUACGUUCGGUUAACUAGUAGUACGUCAUCUUUGAUGAGUUGAGGAAAAAAUUGUUCAGUACAUGAAAAAUUCUAGUUUUGGCUACUAUAACACUUUUGGUUAUAUUUGGUAAUUAUUGUCCAAUCAUAGAAGCUCAAAAAAUUCGUCUCAUAAAUUACAAGUAAACUAUAUAUUUAGUUAUUUUUUUAUCUAUAUUAAUGCAUUAGUUAUUUUUUAAUGUAUAUUUAAUGCUUUAUGCAUGCAUCCAAAGAUUCAAUAUGACGGGGAACCUUUAAAUUUUCUGGAAACUGAACAAGUCCUUAUAAUGGGCAGUGCAAGAAGAAAUAACCAAGCCUCUAGAUAAUGUGCUCAAGUUAAAUUACUCGAUGUUGAUGGAUCCUUUCGGCUAAAUGAGAAGGCCAGGAGCUGGGGCUUCCAACGUGAUAGUGAUGGACCAUUUGGGCCGGUUUGAUGUAAGCACUAUUGGUCCAUGGGCUGGACUGCAGGUUACUAGCUAGUUGGGCUUUGUACUAAGAAAUUGAUGAACAAUGUUCACGAGCCCAGGCCCAGGUUUGCAGAAUCUUCCUUUUUGCUUUCUCCCAUUCCACGGCCCAUGGCGACUGUAGUCAGGCAGUCAUAUAGGUCAGUUUCCUCCUACAAUAAUACUAUACUUACACAUAUACUAUUUGAGACUUAUAUAUAUAGAAAAAAUGGAGAAAAAACUAGACAUGAAUGAGGAAAUUUGUACAAGUAAAAAAUGCACGUACUGGAUAGGUACCACAUUUUUUUUCAUUUCUGGAUCGGAGCAUAUAUAUAUGUAUGUACAACAUUUCAGUGCAGGCCACUAUUUAUACUUUGGUAGCAGGGCUCAAAGAGCUAACAGUUCAAUGAUAACCAACACAUGUAUGAAUUGGAGAGAUGAAAGUAAGUUGUACAUGAAUACGUAGUACAAUAAGUUGGAAGGUGAAAUAUAUGUAUAUGAUCAUUAUAUAUCAAAUUCAAAUAAUGUUGUAUAUACAUAUACCACAAAUCAAUAUAUCAAAUUCGAAUAAUGCCUCACAUUAUGUUGGAGCAGGUUGAAAUUCAUAUCAAACUGACCAUACAUACAACGCCUCACAUGACUUGAUCGACGACUAUUCUAACUUGUUCUCACUGAAUGCGUAUUUUUAUAUUAUGCCAACCAAGUCUAGCCAACCACGACGUACGACUGUAGGCAGUCAUAUAUAGAAAAAAAGGGAGAAAAACCUAGACAUUAAAACGCACUGGAUAGGUACCAUAUUUUUCAUUUCUGGAUCGGAGCAUGUAUAUAUGUACAACAUUUCACUGCAGGCCACUAUUUACACUAGGUAGCGCGCAGGGCUCAAAGAGCACUCCGAUGAUAACCAACGUAUGGGAGAGAUGAAUGUAAGUUGUACAUGGGUUGUACUAUAAGUUGAAGGUCAAAUAUGUAUAUGAUCAAUAUAUGUAUCAAAUUCAAAUAAUGUUGAUAUAACACAAAUAUCUAUACAUUGACAAAAAAACAUAAUCAUAUCGACAUGACAAGGUUUUUUAAUUCACAAAAAAAUAUAUGUCAAAAAUAUUGAACUAGUUAUAGAGGCAAGUAGGCAACAGGCAUGGAUUAGGAUUAUAAAUAUUAUGACUUAUAUAUGAGAAGCUAAAAUAGUAGCUUCUACCAUUUUGGCAUUUUGGGGGUACCUACGACACAGAAAGCCAAAUUAACAGGGGAUACAAUGUAUACUCAAAGUUUGUAAUCAUAUAUUCCGAUUGAAUAAAGAAUACAAUUAAUUCAAUGACGAGAUCACGAGAAUUAAAUACAAAAAUGGAGUGGUUAGUUUGAGUUUGAAUCUUUAGGGAUGUAAACAAAUAAUUAAAACAUAAGAUGAUCGACUAAUGUGAACAAUGAGAAAUAGUAGAUGAUCGAAUUUAUCAAAUGAGAGAUAUAUGAGGGCCCAUAGAAGGCCUCAAUGCAAAUGACCUGACUGGUAUGCUUAUUAUUCUCACUGAAUGACUGGAUGCACAUUUUUAUGUACUAGUGUGGACUGUAGACAAACAUAAGACUGCAGGCAGUCAUAUACAGAUCAGCUUCCUUACAGAGAGUAAAUUGUACAUGAGUAGUAAUAAACAUCGAAGGUCAAAUAUGCAUAUAUAUGAUCAAUACAUAAUAAUUAAAUUCAAAUAAUUGUGUUUAUACAUUUAUAUAUAAUCAUAUCAACAUAAUAACAUCCUCAAUGACAAUGUUUUUUAAUUAACAAAAACUAAGAUUUAUAUGUUAAAAACAUUAAACUAUAGGCAGGCAUGCAUCAGACAUUGCUAUGAGAAGCUCAGAUAGGUCCUAGUAUAUAUACCAUUUUGGGGGCACAGGACAUCUGCAGCCGACUGAAAUGAAAGCCUAACUGACAGGGAUCCAAAUAUACACUCAACUUUGUAAUUAAUCUGAUUGAAUGGACUACAAUCAUCAAUAGUUCUGUAUGUGAUGAAUGAAAUAUAACGAAAUGGAGUGGUUAGUUUGAGUUUGGAUAUUAAUCUUAGGGCUGUCAAAAAUUGAAACAUGUGGUCGCAUCUAGCUAGCCGUGCGCGCGAGUGCACGAAACGGCCGGCGAUGAUACUGCACUAAUUAAUGUGAGCAAUGAGAAAUGCUAGACAUAUCGAUCAAAUAUAUGUGUGUGUGUGUGUGUGUGUGUGUGAGAGAGAGAGAGAGAGAGAGAGAGAGAGAGAGAGAGAGAGAGAGAGAGAGCGAGAGAGAGAGAUGUAUGAGGGCCAUGCUUGGCACCUCGCACGCCAGCCGCAGCGGCCACCGAGAUCGAUCGAUGAUCUUGGGGUGGUAGCCGUGCGAGUGGCAUACAGGGAGCCAGGCAUAUUCCCUAGCUUUCACCUCUUCCUCCACCUCCAUGUCCUGUGCCGCGCGCCAUUGCUUGCUUGCUUAUACACCUUCCAAUAAUGUGCCAUGGCAUACAAGCGCCCUCAUAUUCUUUGUUUCCUCUAGCUCCCCUUGCAAGCUCAUAUGGCGCACACACGCAUAUCUGAACUAGAACUACACACGGCGAGGGAGAGAUCGAAUAAUGGAAAAUGGAGACUAGCUAGCUCGCUUAGAGGAAGACGAUGAAGCUUGUUGAGGCUGUUGAGUGAUGGUGUUGUUUGGCAAGAAGUUGCAUAUAUAUAUAUAGCUCCCGGCCCCAGGGUGGAGGUGAGGUCCCCCAACAUGCAUGCAUACCCUGC